GGUACAACUAUUUUCUGCCAUUGGCCAAGACAAUCCUUUCUCCUUUGUUUUUAUGGUUCUUUCUUUUCUUUGCUUAAAAAAGGCGAUUUUACCAAGAUGUAGAGAGUUUUCUCUCUAGAUCAUAGGUUUUUCUCCCAUUUUUGAAAGGCUUUUAGACCAAAAAAAAAAAAAUCUUAAGCUGCAGUCUUCUCCAAGGAUAUGGAUCAAACACAGACAGCUUUAACAAGAGUUGUUUAUCUCUUCACCCAUCCCUUCUUACUUCUUGUACUCUUUAUCUUUAUCAUCAUCAAGCACUUCAACUGUCCAUCUUCGAAAAGGCAGCCUCUUCCUCCAGGUCCCAAAGCAUGGCCUAUCGUAGGCAACCUUCUCCAUAUUGGAAAAAUGCCACAUAUCUCCAUGACCCAAUACGCCAAAGCUCAUGGCCCUCUAAUUUCACUGAGGCUUGGUACCCGAGUCCUCAUUGUUGGAUCUUCUCCGAUGGCAGCUGUAGAAAUUCUCAAGACAAAUGAUCGUUUGCUAUCUGCUAGAUGUGUGCCAAAAGCAAGUCCCUAUGAAAGCCAAGUACUUGAACGAAUAGCGCUUGUUUGGGCCCCGCAAUGCACCGACGGAUGGAAAUCCUUGCGAGCCUUAUGCAGGACUGAGCUGUUUUCAGCCAAAGCAUUGGAGUCGCAAGCCAGUUUGAGAGAGAAGAAAGUUGCCCAGAUGGUAAAAUUUUUGGAAACCAGACAAGGAAAACUUAUUAAUGUUGGAGAAGUAGUGUUCACUACCGUUUUUAACACGCUAUCCAGUCUCUUUUUCUCAAAAGACUUCAUUGGUUUGGAAGAUAAAGGAGUGGCCAGUGGAUUGAAAAAUCUUAUCUGGAAGAUUAUGGAAUUGGCCAUUACUCCAAAUAUAGCUGAUUUUUAUCCUAUACUUGCCGGGUUGGAUCCUCAAGGACUAAGAAGGAAGAGUUUAAAAUGUGGUCAAGAAAUGGUUGCCCUUUGGGAAAUGUACGUAAAGGAAAGAAGGCAAAAGCAUGGCCAAGAUACUCCAAGAAACGAUUUCUUGGAUGUAUUUCUUGCAAAUGGAUUUCAGGACGAUCAAAUCAAUUGGUUGACUCUUGAAUUGUUCAGUGCAGGCACAGACACUACUACGACGACAAUAGAGUGGGCAGUGGCUGAGCUUAUCAAGAACAAACAAGUCAUGAGCAAAGUUCGUGAAGAGCUAGACAGAGAAAUCAACAAAGACUGGAUACAUGAAUCUCAGGUUUCUCAACUUCCUUAUUUAAAUGCAUGCAUAAAGGAAACUCUGAGAUUACACCCUCCUGUUCCAUUCUUAAUUCCACGUCGUGCUGUUGAGAAUUGUGAAGUUAUGAAUUACACCAUUCCAAAAGAUUCUCAGAUAUUAGUCAAUGUUUGGGCUAUUGGGCGUGAUUCCUCUGCUUGGGAAGAUCCUUUGUUAUUUAAACCUGAAAGGUUUCUUGGCUCAAGUUUGGACUUAAAGGGUCGUGACUUUGAGUUCCUACCUUUCGGUUCAGGAAGGAGGAUUUGCCCCGGACUGCCAAUGGCUACAAGACAACUUCCAUUGAUUUUGGCCUCUUUAAUACAUUGCUUUGAUUGGUCUCUUGAAAAUGGUGUGGAUCCUGCCGAGUUAAACAUGACCGAAAAGUUUGGCAUAACAUUGCAAAAGGAACAUCCUCUACUUAUUGUUCCUAAAAGAAAACUAUAAUUUCAAUGGAUGUUUGUUAAGUAUGUGCCAAAGAUAUUUUCUUUAAUAAUAUUGGCAAUGACUUCAGUCUUUGCUCUAGCGAUAUGGAUUUUUCUUAUUCUUGCAUUUGUCUAUUUGUUAAUUUUCUGCACUAGUGGAAGUGAGCAUGAG
rnacentral:misc_RNA from 1 species